rnacentral:lncRNA from 1 species
GGGUGCCGUGGCCGCUCUUCACAUGGUGCAUUGCUUCCAUCUGGCCGGGUUCCCCAAAGGCCUCAUAAGCUGCGUCACCGGAAAAGGCUCGGAGAUUGGGGACUUUCUGACCAUGCACCCCGGAGUCAACUGUAUAAGGUCAGCCCGUCAGCCACCUUCGGAAUUCUAUGCUAAUGCUAGGUGCUCGCUUCUUCUGGCAUUCAACGACUGUUUGGCUCAUCUUCCCGCUGUAGUUUCACCGGCGGAGACACCGGAAUCGCCAUAUCGAAGAAGGCCGGGAUGGUCCCUCUCCAGAUGGAACUGGGGGGGAAGGACGCCUGUAUAGUGCUGGAGGAUGCCGACCUGGACUUGGUGGCGGCCAACAUUGUCAAAGGAGGCUUCUCGUACAGGUAAUAUCCGACGUUCAUCGACCACCAUGGCUUGCUUCUGUAACGUCAACGGAAGAUCUCUUGCUCCAGUGAUUCCUGAUAUAUAUAUAUAUAUAGAUAUAUUGAUAUAUAGAUAUAUAGAUAUUUUGAACUCGGGGAAAAACACAACUCAGGGUCUUUUCUUUACUCUUAUUUUGAUAACACAGCGGGCAGAGGUGCACGGCAGUGAAGGUCGUCCUGGUGAUGGAAUCGGUAGCGGACUCCCUCGUGGAGAAAGUCAACGCCAAGUUGGCUAAGCUGACGGUCGGGCCGCCGGAGGACGACUGCGACAUCACCCCGGUGGUGACGGAGUCGUCGGCCAACUUCAUAGAAGGGCUGGUCCUGGACGCGAGGGAGAAAGGCGCCACCUUUUGCCAGGAGUACCGCAGGGAAGGCAACCUCAUAUGGCCGCUGCUGCUGGAUCACGUCCGCGCGGACAUGAGGAUCGCCUGGGAGGAGCCCUUCGGCCCGGUGCUACCAGUAAUCCGCAUCAACUCCAUUGAAGAAGGCAUCCACCACUGCAACGCCAGCAAUUUCGGUCUCCAGGUACCUCCUCCUUCCCUCCUCCUCCUUCCUCCUCCCUCUUCUCCUCUGAUCUUCGCCCUCCUCCCCCCCCCCUCGCAGGGAUGCGUCUUCACGAGGGACAUCGUGAAGGCCAUCAUGAUCAGCGACGCCAUGGAGACGGGAACGGUGCAGAUCAACUCGGCUCCCGCUCGCGGCCCGGACCACUUCCCUUUCCAGGUGGGGCACCGCAUGCGAUUCCGUACACCCUGUUCUUCGACGGAGAGCGGCCGACCGGGCAGGAACCCCUGCAAAAAAAUUAAAAAAAAAAACGGUUUCUUGUUGCAGGGCCUGAAAGACAGCGGCAUCGGCUCACAGGGGAUCACCAACAGCAUAAACAUGAUGACGAAGGUGAAGAGCACCGUCAUCAACCUCCCGUCGCCUUCCUACACCAUGGGCUAGCGGCCCCUCCGCGUAAUAACGAGCUGGGGAGGCCGCCCUGUUUGAUCGAACGGGAAGGACCGUCCCUCCUCCUCCUCCCCCCUCGCUACGGAGGACCGAUCCUGUUCGUCUUCUUGCUUCGAUCAUCUGGGCUCUGGGUGCCCGCGCCAAGAUGCCGCCUUUUGCAGCAUCCUGGGUAGUUUUACCAGGUCCAAGACCAGUCACUCUAAACCGCAGUCCGCCAAUAUCCGAAAUAUUGACUGCCCAAAAAAGAAGCGAACGAGGG